rnacentral:misc_RNA from 1 species
AUGAAGAACGCAGCGAAAUGCGAUAAGUAGUGUGAAUUGCAGAAUUCAGUGAAUCAUCGAAUCUUUGAACGCACAUUGCGCCCCUUGGUAUCCCGAGAGGCAUGCCUGUUCGAGCGUCAUUUCACCACUCAAGCCUGGCUUGGUGUUGGGCGACGUCCUCUUUGGGGACGCGCCUCGAAACGCUCGGCGGCGUGGCACCGGCUUUAAGCGUAGCAGAAUCUUUCGCUUUGGAAGUCGGGGCCCCGUCUGCCGGAAGACCUGCUCGCAAGGUUGACCUCGGAUCAGGCAGGGAUACCCGCUGAACUUAAGCAUAUCAAUAAGCGGAGGA